CCAACUUGUGCUGGUUCAGAAGCCCAGAGUACACCAGUGCAGCAGCACAUACCAGCAUCCGCAGCUAUUCUGUUGGAGUGAAUCAAUAAAAGCAAACUCCUGUUCUGGAUGUGAAGAGAUUUUUACCGUGCCUGGCAGAGAAAUACUCUCCUUCAUUCCUGCACCCAGUAUUCAAAACUAGCACUGAGAUCAACAAAACAAAAUGAUAAAAUUUUUUCUUAUGGUAAACAAACAAGGUCAAACACGGCUCUCUAGGUAUUAUGAGCAUGUAGAAAUUAAUAAACGGACAGUGCUGGAAGCUGAAGUAAUCAAAAACUGUCUCUCUCGUUCAAAGGAUCAGUGUUCUUUCAUCGAGUAUAAGGACUUUAAGCUGGUGUACCGACAAUAUGCAGCCCUUUUCGUAGUUGUUGGAAUCAAUGAGACAGAGAAUGAGAUGGCAGUAUAUGAACUAAUUCAUAAUUUUGUGGAAGUUUUGGACAAAUACUUCAGCAGAGUGCAUUUCAUCCCCCAAAUGCACUUCAUUCACGAUAAAGAUGGUUUAAGCAUUAAUCAGGGAGCUGACAUCACUCUCACUGAACAGGAUCAGAGGGAUGGAGGGCAAAUGAAACCUCAAAAACCGGUCUGUACUUGUGCUCCCCAUAUUGUUAUCAUGCAACAGUGGAUAUCUGAUAAGACAGCUAUUGUAGAUAGACCUUUUGUUAAGAAUUAAAUGUCAGACAUGUCUUCAGUUAAAAUGACUCUGCUUCUUUUGGUGGGAAAUUGUUUCUUUUUACAUAGUUUGAAAAUGCAACAUUAUAACCCUGGUUAGGACACUGUGCUAUUUAAUAUAAGAUUUGUACUAAUUUUCUUACAAGCCAAUCUGCCUGAAAUCAUACUUCAUCACAAUUUCAGUUUGUCUACACUGGAAUGUGUUGGAUAUUUUCCUCAGAAAAGAGGACUAAAUAGUCUUCCUUCUACAGGCCAUGUACUUAAGGAUACGAAUUUGGUAAUUACACAUACAAGAGACCAGUACGGAGGUUCUAUAACUGGUUUCCCAGUACAAGUAACACAGCAGACAUGGCAGAGCUCCCUCUGAAUUCAAGGACGUGAUUGAUGAAGUCAUCUGCACUAUUCACUACUUAAAUGCCUGGCAAGUGUUUUAGGCUAUUAUCUCAACUAAUAUUACACCAGCCAGUUGAAACCACUCGCGCUAAGUAUAUCCCUUUCUGACUGAACUAAGUUCAGAAUUUGUCUCUCAACAUUGUUAUAAUUGCAGUCCCCACCAAAGCAGUGAGUGGAGUUUGAUCUUGACAGCACAGAAAUGCACAAUAAAAUUUAGUCACAUCUUAUUUAUCUAAUUGAGCUAAUAGUUGCCAACCACCUCUCAAGUUCUAUUUCCCUCACAUGAAGCAGAGCAAAAAUAGAUGUAGUUCUUGUAAAUGUAAUACAUGUAAUUCCUUGACCACCUAUAUAACCCAACCACUGAUAGUUGUUAGAAAUUUGCUGAAUUCAUCAUACCAGACGUUUUGUAUUUUCCAAAGCAUUUAAAGUUUGAAACUGGGGGAAAUGAAAAGGAAGAUGGUUAAAAAAAUCUCAUGCCAUUCUGGGUUCUAUUUUUUAAUAGCAUAUAACACAAUAAAUGGUAGAGCACUGAAGAAGAGGGCUAUAAUUCUAGCUGGGUUUCUGGCAAGAAAGUAUAAGUCUGUACUAUUAUGGAUUAAUGUUUAGGGUUUGCAGAAUUCUAGCAGAAUCCCAAAUUAUGAUGAUGAGAACAGAGACAAAACUGGGAAAGAACAUCUGUCCUGCUCUAGAAGGACAUUUUGUCAUCUAUUAUUUUUAGGCUUGUAAGCUUUGAACAUUCUCACAUACUCUAUUUUUAUCUAGUGGAGUCUACAGAGCCUGAAUUCAUAUAUCAGAACAAACGUUAACAGAAUUAGGGGGAAAGCUUUCAGAGUUCUUUGUGAGACAAUUCUGAGUCCCCUCCACUUUUAUAAUGGCUACCCAGGGAAAACUUUGCGUACUGUUAAAAAUACUUACUUCAAUGUUUUCAACUACUUUUUAAUGCUGAAGCAACUCAAAACAGGUUCGUAAAAUACAGUUUUUGUGAUGCAUAAAAAAAAAUCUAAUUGCAUGGUCAGUCAGUGGAGGCCUGUAGACAAGAAGUAGUGCAGUUCAGGGCAUCUUUAGACUAUAGAAAUAGUAGCAGUUUUACCAGCAGGAGCUCUGUGUAAAACCAGGGUUAGUCUGUGAAUGGAAACCAUAUUAGCAAACUAAGUUCCUUCAGUAGCAGAUAAAGAUUCCCGCUUUCAGCAGAGUCUGGGGAAGCUCCACCCUAACUGUGCAAGAUCUUAACUGCUGAGGCUUGAUUAAUUGUUUCUAAAUUUAGACAUUUAACUGAAGGACCUAAGUUAGAAGUUUGGUCAUCCUAAGCUCUCAUUGCCAGCAGUGGAGGCAGAUUCGUAUCUGGAGAAAGUGAGUCAUGCCUCAAGUGUGCUGAAUUAACAGUUGAAGAUACCCAUCUCUUCUAUUAGCUGCACAGAGACCACAAAGGCUUCUAACUCAGAUAUUUUGCUUAAUAAAACUGCUUGGUGUAAAUCCAGGCCAAGACGAGAAGGGAAAUGAUAACCAAGUGAAGAAUUGCGUUGUUGUUGCUGAAGCAAUAGUUAGAAGUCCUAAGGGUCCAAAGCUUGGAGUCACCUUCCUUCUCCUAGUAUAUACAGCCACAUCUAUCGCAGCCAAGAGUAUAUAGAAUAUCUAGAUUUUGCUGUUGAAAUUAUCUGCAGCCACACUUUUUAGUGUGUUUCUAUAUAAAUUGUAAACUUGGCAUCAACAUCCUGUUUAUGUAGAAGGAGGAAGAGAGAAUGUUGGGCUGGAGCUGCCAUUAUCAGAGAUGCUGUUUUUUCACCCACUCAUUCAGAUGGCGCUGUGUACAUUCAGAUUAUUACUUUUGGGUGACCUCAGUGGGUUUUUCUAAGUACAAAUUUCAGAACGUUGGCUUUUAUUACAAAGGUAUAUAAUACAUAAAAGACAAAGCAGUGUUGCAGGAAAGAGUAUGUAAUUGUACGGUCCAAAACAGAACUCUAAAUCACCUAUGAAGAGUUUCUUUAUUCUCUGAAAGUGUGUGUAAUGUUUAACAACUAUGAGAUGAGAAGUGAAACUGUAAAUAAUGGUUACCUAUGUCUUUUCUUUGCAGAGUGAAUUAGAUAUCAUGUUCAACUUGGACAGAGUGCACAUCAUUUUGGAUGAAAUGGUGCUAAAUGGCUGCAUCGUGGAAACAAACCGGAAUAGAAUUCUCGCCCCUUUGUUGGUGCUUGACAAAGUGGCAGAAAGCUAGGAAGACGCA